AAUGAGCGUUCAAAAUUUGUCCACCAGAUGGCGCCGCUCCCAAACAAAACGCUGCUAACCAAAUUCGAAGAACCUCAAGCCAACAUGGCGACGCCGGAUUCGAAACAUCUGGCUGCAUGCGGGUCACGGAGCUUUGAAGCUACACGGAAUUCCUAAACAAGAAGAAGCCUCGGAAUUCUGAGAUAGAGGAUGGACACGCUCACACAAAAAGGAGGCACUGUGGGGUGCCAGUAAUGACAUUAUGAACAUCACACGCAAGCCGCGAUGCGAACAACCAAUCAAGCCGGCCGUUCUUCAGCCGACUCGCGUGAUUUGACGGCCGUGAACUUCGACAUUUGGAGGUGACGCGUGACAUUUGCACUCACCCAAACAUGACCAGUUUUUUUUUCUUUUUUUGUGGUUUGUUUGCGCUCGAGGUCGUCUUAGCGCCAUGCUUGAAAAGUGACGACCUUCACCGCGAUGACACGUAGCGUCGUCAGUCGGCGAACUUUGCCCAUGGGGUCGCCAGCCUCAUGCUCGCCUCCAUUUUGUUCGCACCAUCGACAUCGAUGUUUGCGUUUCUUAUUUACAUUACAUGUGAUGAUAAUGACAAGUAGGAGGACAAAGAUAAUUUGGGGUGUGUGUUAUAUGUUACAUAUUUUUAUCUUGUUUUUGAAUAUCGGGAUGGUGGAGUUGCUUUCUGGUUUUUACUGUUGUUGUGGUGUAAUUGUGUACUUUAUACAGUGACAGUUGGGCACACACACACACACACACACACACACACACACCUGUCGGGGAAUUUGCAGUCCUGGCGGGCACGCCAGCGGGCGCAGGCCACCGCAAGGCAUAGUGGGGGAUGCUAAAGCUCCCACAGCUUAUGCCGAUGGUGCUCUCUCGCCUGUUGUCGGCAACUUGUUGCCUCAGAUGACCUAAAGUACUUUUUAAAUGCUCCUGGGGGCUGCAAAGCCUUCAUAUGUUUGGUCAUUGGAAUCAUCAUCUUAAACAAAGUUGUUACUGGUGUAACCUGUUUUUUGACUAUUUUGUGU